ACAAUUCGAAUGGCGCUUGAAGUUCUGUAGGAUUAAAUCAGCCCAGUUUUAUUUUUAAUACCAUGUUGUUUGGCUGCUAUUGGUCCUUAAAGACACUGUUGGCUGAAUAGCAUAAUGUCUGUCAUUGUUAAUCAAAUACUCAUUAGACCAAUCCUUGACCAUUUCAAUCAUUAAGAACCAUCUUUUAUUCAUUUAUUUUUAAAAGCUUCUUGGUAUCUUCUUAUUUGGUAGUAUAACAUGGCAAUUAAGCAGUGUAUUUAGGUAGAAGGAGCAUAUUAAUUUGUGAAUUAAACAUUUUUUGAUCUAGUAAAUUUGUUUCAUAGUAUGAACCAUUUUAAGAUUUUUUUUGGUUAACAUUCAAUUUUUUGCUGAUUGGUAUUUAUUUUAAGUAAUAAAGGUUAUGUGCACAACAUUCUUUUUGGUGGUCAAUAUAUUUAUCCCCAUAUUUUACAUGUGAAACUUUAUAUAACUUUUGAUGUUUUUUACUUGAUCAAGCCAGUAUGUCUGAAUAAAUCUCUAUGAAAUUUGGCACAAAGAUAGAUUUAUAUUCUGGAAUAGCUCAUAGGCUUCUUUUUACCCCAACAAUAUAUGGUUCCCAUGAGAUAGUUUUGAUUUUUACAGAGCAGGGGUCAAUGCGAAUCAAAAUGGUCAAAAUCCAUUCAAAUGAAGAUAAUGUGGUUAUUUUGGAAUAUUUAAUUAUGAAGUAAUCCAGCAACAGGAUUCAUUUAGAUUGGAAAAUUACAGCUACAUAAAUUGGAUGUUCAUAAUCCGUACAUUCUUUAGGAUGAUUUAAGGUGCUAAGAGCAGUUUUAGCCCACAAGUCCACAGUGUAGUGGAAGGAAAUAUAACAAAUUCCCUUGAGCCUGGCCUUGGAGGUGUACCCACACCACCAACACAGCAGCAACAGCAGGAGGCUCUGUUCUCACUUACCAUCUGCAGCUUACUAUGUUGAAGUGAUAAAUAUAAAAUCUAUUUAUAUCCUGUGAUACUAAUGAAAAUAACUCAGAAUGGGACCAGAACAAACAAAAAGCAGGAGUCUUCAUUACAAUCAAACGAAGAAAACAUGAAUCCAAAUUGCGUUAAACCCGGAUCGCAAAAGAAAAAAAUUGGCUUGUUAUCUAAGCAAGACAGCCUUAUUGAAGUAGAGCUCUGUGAAGAGCAAAAAGCGGCUCGCGUUGCUUGGUGCGUCAGAACUCCCGAAAGAUUCCACGCAGGAUCCUCAAAUGCUGCAUACAACAUCGUAUCAGGUGACGAAUCCUGGAAAUACGCGUACGAACCCUAAACAAAAAACCAGUCACAAGUUUGGGUGUUCGAAAAUGAGUUAAAGCCAACAAAAAUUGUUCGUUCGUUUGUUGUUUGAGCCAGAAAUUCUCCUCAGAAAAAGCUGUGCCCUGCGACAGUGAAGCCGGCCACAGGGGACCGUAUAGUUGGCGAAGUUUAGCUUGCCCAACAAACUCUGAAGCUCUCUUAACGAGCAGCUGCCUCGAUUUAGUAUAUUUGUUAGAGGUUUCUUACUCUUAAUUUUCCGAGAGGGCAAAGCUAUUGUCUGGAUCUGAGUGUUCCAGACCAGGCCCAAGUACUCUUAACUCGUGUGGGCUCUGUUACCGAUUUUUGGAAAUUUAUGUGCCAACCCAGUAAUUCCAAGAUGGCCAGAGUUUCGGCAACCUGCUCAGGUUGCCGAAAGCUAUUAGCUUGGAGAUAUACUAAUAGGCGUAUGCCCCAUGCCCUGAGGAUUUUGCACUCACUACUACUUAGAACACUGUUAUAAAAAAGUUAUUGUGGUUAAAAAGCACUUUUAAUUACUUUUUUCUCACUACUUUAAAGUUUUGAUGUAACUCAAAAGAAUCACAUGAACGCAAUGGCGCCUGACAGCAAAACUGGCGGUAAAGUGCUUAAAACGUCCUCUGGUGUAAGAAAUAGGAAAUAAUAUUCAGACUAAGUAAGGCUGAUAUUCUCGUCUUUAACAGAAUCAUAGGACUGCUUCUUCAUAUCAUUGCUGUGUUUUCGAAGACAUAUAAUAUCCACACCAACAGAUAAUACAGUCACCACAUCCCACGCCAAUAUCCACACCAACAGAUAAUAUCCUCACCAUUAGUAACGACCACCGCAUCCCACACGAUCUCAUUACCAUCAGAUACAAUCACCUCACUUCCCACAAUCUCCACACCACCAUAUGGUGGUGUGGAGGUUGGACACUGAAGCAUCAAUUAGAAUGUUCUGUCUAGGUUGGGCAACAUCCAGGACCGUAUUUGGGUUGUCGAAUAUUAAGUUAUCUGGAGUUAUAUCUGCCAAAAUCUCGUUGGUAAUAUUAGUAAUAGAAGUGCUUUGGUUUGACGCUGCCGAAUUUCGAGGCGUCUUAU